GAUGAACGCUGGCGGCGUGCCUAAUACAUGCCAGUCGAGCGAACAGAGGAGGAGCUUGCUCCUCUGACGUUAGCGGCGGACGGGUGAGUAACACGUGGAUAACCUACCUAUAAGACUGGGAUAACUUCGGGACACCGGAGCUAAUACCGGAUAAUAUAUUGAACCGCAUGGUUCAAUAGUGAAAGACGGUUUUGCUGUCACUUAUAGAUGGAUCCGCGCCGCAUUAGCUAGUUGGUAAGGUAACGGCUUACCAAGGCGACGAUGCGUAGCCGACCUGAGAGGGUGACCGGCCACACUGGAACUGAGACACGGUCCAGACUCCUACGGGAGGCAGAAGUAGGGAAUCUUCCGCAAUGGGCGAAAGCCUGACGGAGCAACGCCGCGUGAGUGAUGAAGGUCUUCGGAUCGUAAAACUCUGUUAUUAGGGAAGAACAAAUGUGUAAGUAACUAUGCACGUCUUGACGGUACCUAAUCAGAAAGCCACGGCUAACUACGUG
rnacentral:rRNA from 1 species